UAAUGGCGAUAAAUCGUAGUGUCCU
rnacentral:piRNA from 1 species